rnacentral:rRNA from 1 species
GAUGAACGCUGGCGGCGUGCCUAAUACAUGCAAGUCGAGCGAACAGACGAGGAGCUUGCUCCUCUGACGUUAGCGGCGGACGGGUGAGUAACACGUGGAUAACCUACCUAUAAGACUGGGAUAACUUCGGGAAACCGGAGCUAAUACCGGAUAAUAUAUUGAACCGCAUGGUUCAAUAGUGAAAGACGGUUUUGCUGUCACUUAUAGAUGGAUCCGCGCCGCAUUAGCUAGUUGGUAAGGUAACGGCUUACCAAGGCAACGAUGCGUAGCCGACCUGAGAGGGUGAUCGGCCACACUGGAACUGAGACACGGUCCAGACUCCUACGGGAGGCAGCAGUAGGGAAGCUUCCGCAAUGGGCGAAAGCCUGACGGAGCAACGCCGCGUGAGUGAUGAAGGUCUUCGGAUCGUAAAACUCUGUUAUUAGGGAAGAACGAAUGUGUAAGUAACUAUGCACGUCUUGACGGUACCUAGUCAGAAAGCCACGGCUAACUACGUG